CUCCUGGAAACGGGUGGUAAUGCCGGAUGUUCCACAUGAGCGCAUGCGAGUGUGGGAAAGGCUUUUUGCGGCAUGGGAUGGGGUCGCGUCCUAUCAGCUUGUUGGUGGGGUAACGGCCUACCAAGGCGUUGACGGGUAGCCGGCCUGAGAGGGCGACCGGCCACAUUGGGACUGAGAUACGGCCCAGACUCCUACGGGAGGCAGCAGUGGGGAAUAUUGCACAAUGGGCGCAAGCCUGAUGCAGCGACGCCGCGUGCGGGAUGGAGGCCUUCGGGUUGUAAACCGCUUUUGUUCAAGGGCAAGGCACGGUUUCGGCCGUGUUGAGUGGAUUGUUCGAAUAAGCACCGGCUAACUACGUGCCAGCAGCCGCGGUAAUACGUAGGGUGCAAGCGUUAUCCGGAUUUAUUGGGCGUAAAGGGCUCGUAGGCGGUUCGUCGCGUCCGGUGUGAAAGUCCAUCGCUUAACGGUGGAUCCGCGCCGGGUACGGGCGGGCUUGAGUGCGGUAGGGGAGACUGGAAUUCCUGGUGUAACGGUGGAAUGUGUAGAUAUCGGGAAGAACACC
rnacentral:rRNA from 1 species